UACGAAGGGGGCUAGCGUUGCUCGGAAUCACUGGGCGUAAAGGGCUCGUAGGCGGCCAACUAAGUCAGACGUGAAAUCCCUCGGCUUAACCGGGGAACUGCAUCUGAUACUGGAUGGCUUGAGAUUGGGAGAGGGAUGCGGAAUUCCAGGUGUAGCGGUGAAAUGCGUAGAUAUCUGGAGGAACACCGGUGGCGAAGGCGGCAUCCUGGACCAACACUGACGCUGAGGAGCGAAAGCCAGGGGAGCAAACGGG
rnacentral:rRNA from 1 species